AUACGGAGGGUGCAAGCGUUAAUCGGAAUUACUGGGCGUAAAGAGUACGUAGGUGGUUUGUUGAGUCAGAUGUGAAAGCCCCGGGCUCAACCUGGGAACUGCAUUUGAAACUGGCAAACUAGAGUAUGGUAGAGGGGGGUAGAAUUUCUAGUGUAGCGGUGAAAUGCGUAGAUACUAGAAGGAAUACCAGUGGCGAAGGCGGCCCCCUGGACCAAUACUGACACUGAGGUACGAAAGCGUGGGUAGCGAACAGGAUUAGAUACCCUAGUAGUCC
rnacentral:rRNA from 1 species